UACGUAGGGGGCAAGCGUUGUCCGGAAUCAUUGGGCGUAAAGAGCGUGUAGGCGGCUCGGUAAGUCCGCUGUGAAAGUCCAGGGCUCAACCCUGGAAUGCCGGUGGAAACUGUCGAGCUAGAGUCCGGAAGAGGUGAGUGGAACUCCUGGUGUAGCGGUGAAAUGCGCAGAUAUCAGGAAGAACACCAAUGGCGAAGGCAGCUCACUGGGACGGUACUGACGCUGAGACGCGAAAGCGUGGGGAGCAAACAGG
rnacentral:rRNA from 1 species